ACUUCAGCGAGACUUGUUCUACGGAAGGACCAGUUGAUUCCGGGACUUGAGGGCUCGAGAUCGCACGGGUUUAAUCUUCGGGAUUCCGUUUGUGUGGGGGCGCGGGGCGGGGACGUCUUGGGGAAGGGGACACGCUGGACCCUGGGGCGAGCGGACGGGUCCUGGGAGCGCCCGGGGCUGGGGACGCCGCGUACCGGGCCAGGAGGAGAGAGGCGCCCGUGCCUGCCCCAGGGUGUGCCAGGGGCUAAGCUUUCAGCUUCAGACGUCAACAUCGCUGAAAUCAUAACUCAGAAUAUUGAACACUCUCCUCAAACUCAGUACCUACUAUCUUCAAGAACGUGACAGUCUGAAAAACAGAAUUCUUGGAAGCAUUCUGGAGAAAACUGAAAAAUAGUCGCCCUUCACAUCAAAGGUAAGUUUGAUUUGUAUAUUUAGUCAGGAAAUGGUAACUUAUGAAAUAUAUAUAAUAUAUUUCAUAAUAUGUUCAGUUUGUUUCCCUAAACUGAAGUAGAUUAUACAUAAUAUAUACUGGCUGAUUCUGAUACCUAGCAGAAUUCCCUCCUUCUUCCCCUGUUUUCUUGAAUCCCAUUCUUCACUUUUGUUGGGGCUCGGAAAAAACAAUACUCAAAAUUGAUGGUCUCAGAAGCAGCCUCAGAAGCAAAUUUUCUCUCUGAUCUUUUUUUCCUCUCCUGUUUCUCACUCCUCAUUCUCUAGAGGUUAGCCAUAAAAACCAGAAACCCCCUUUCCCAAGGCUCCUUUUCCCCAAAGUAAGCCAUAAAACCUAAAAAUACUACUCUUACUUUUCUGUAUAAGAACGGACUCUAAAUAAAUUCUUUGAACUAUCUUGUUCAAUUGUAGGUUAUAAGACUUCCAUUCCAAAAGGAGCUCUGCCCCAUGCCAGGAAGGAAGGAAUGCUGCACAGAGAGAUCAAGAAGAAUCUGACCAGAAAGACCUUGCUGGGUUUCCCCACUCAGUCUAUUAGCAUUAGGUGAUGCCCUUUUUGUCUAAUCACAUUUUUUACACAGCUGUCUGUCCAUUCUUCAUUGAACUUCAGCAUUAAAAUGAAUAUUUUUUUACAUAACUCUGGGUCUUCAUUCUGAAGGCUCCCAUGUCGCAUAAAACUAUAAUUAAAUAAAUACGCUUUGCUUUUCUCUUGUUAACCUGUCUUUCUUUUGUUAAAGAGGUGCCAGCUAUGACCCUUACGAUAGGAAGGAAAGAGAUCCACCAUUU
rnacentral:lncRNA from 1 species